UGUGUUCCUACAAAGACUACGUAUUGGGCUACCAUCGAGUGGAAACUUCCUACUGCGACCCUGGCGACUUCCUGUACAAGGGCUCUUGCUAUCACUUUGGGAGGAUGGAGCGCACUUGGAAGGAUGCCGAGAAGUUCUGCCAAGAAUCGAAAGGUCACCUGGCCAGCGUCCUCUCAUGGGACGAGGGCAAAUUCUUGGCUGCUCACGCGCCAUAUGUAGGAGGAUUGCAAUCUUGGGUGGGACUCAAGAAGAACAAGGGCAACUUUGAGUGGAGCGACGCAACACCUGCAGGCAAGAUCGAGUGGGUCCCAGACAAGCCAACCGGA